CAGACCCAGUGGGGCCGAGACCCAGGGCCGGCUCUGCAGAUGCUGCCCGUGCUGCUGCCACCGCUGCUGCUGCUGCUGCUUAGGCCCAGGCUGACGGAGGCCUACAGCAGGAAGGACCCGGCCACGUGGCCUUGGCAGGCAAGCAUCUUUCUGGACAGCCGGUACCGCUGUGAGGGGGCCCUCAUUUCCCCAGAGUGGGUGCUGACAAGUGCCAGCUGCUUUGGCAGGUGGGUGCAGGGCCAGGGAGGGGGUGGCAGGGGCUCUGGGAGGGCAGCUCCCAGCCUCGUCACCUCCCGCUCCACACAGCUGGCCGCUGGCCCUCUUCAGCGUGACCCUGGGCCCAGAUCGGCUGGCGCUGGACACUUGUGGCAGCAAGGCCAGCGUGGAGGCGCUGCUCCUGUCCCCAGGAGGGCCCAAGGCCUCGGGAUCUGGUGCCCUGGCCCUGGCUCGGCUGGCAAGGCCACCAUCUCUCAGCAGUGCCAUAUGGCCUAUCCCUCUGGCCACCCGGGCCCCAGGGGCGGAUCUGCUGGGCCCAAGGCUUUGAUCCUGACUUGGACCCCCACGCCCCACCCCCAAGGCUGGAGAGCACCCCCCUGAGGCUGCUGCACACCAACACCUGCAGAGACACCUUCCGCCUCCAGCCCGACUGUCCGGACCUGCAGGCCCUCCUGCCCAAGGGCUCCCGGUGCGCGAUCGCCCCCACCGGCCCAGCCCAGCUGGUGGUGUCUGAUGGGAGCCCCCUGGUCUGCUUCCAAGCUAGCAGCUGGCGGCUGGAGGGUGUGAUGACCUGGGGUCCCUGCUCCCGGCCUGGCCUCCCUGAGGUCUACACACGUGCCUGUCCCCUCAUUUCUUGGAUUCGGGAGACGGUCUCCAAUGCCACCUUCGAUACCUCAGCCAAGAUGCACUCUUGGGACCGGCCCAGGACCAGGCAGAGGAGGCAGUGAGGGUCCUUCGGGAGUUCUGGGUUUGAAACCUGGCUCAGCUCCUUACCUGCUGCUGCGAUGGUGUCCCAGUCACCUCCCUUCUGAAUCUGCUUCCUCUUUUGUGCAACGGAGAUGUAUUCAAUUAUUCAGUCGUUCCACAGCUGCCACAUGCUCCCUACACAAGGUUGCUACAGCCCCUGUGCUCAUGGAGUCUGGGGGGCGAGGCGAGCAUUAGCCAGCGCUCUCACAAUAAUAAAUGUGCAAAUGC
rnacentral:lncRNA from 1 species